GGUGGCCUUCGGGAACGUCUGACACAGGUGCUGCAUGGCUGUCGUCAGCUCGUGUCGUGAGAUGUUGGGUUAAGUCCGUAACGAGCGCAACCCUUGUCCUUAGUUACCAGCACGUUAUGGUGGGCACUCUAAGGAGACUGCCGGUGACAAACCGGAGGAAGGUGGGAUGACGUCAAGUCAUCAUGGCCCUUACGGCCUGGGCUACACACGUGCUACAAUGGUCGGUACAAAGGGUUGCCAAGCCGCGAGGUGGAGCUAAUCCCAUAAAACCGAUCGUAGUCCGGAUCGCAGUCUGCAACUCGACUGCGUGAAGUCGGAAUCGCUAGUAAUCGUGAAUCAGAAUGUCACGGUGAAUACGUUCCCGGGCCUU
rnacentral:rRNA from 1 species